ACAAAAGCCCUAUUCAGGGCUACAAAAAAGUCAAUUGUCAAUUUUAU
rfam:Picea glauca, whole genome shotgun sequence.